rnacentral:lncRNA from 1 species
CCAUCACUGUCUUCAUAUACUCUUCCAUUGAAAUACAACACUGUAAUAAUUGAAUUCAUGAUAUACCUACAUCAUCAAAAUUAAUAAUAAUUAAUCAUAACAAUAGGAGUUUUAAAAUAAAUAAUUACUCAUACUAAUUUUAUAAUAAAAAUUCUAAUUAAAAAAAUUAAUUCACUUAAACUUUGCCUUCAAAUAUUAGUCUAACAAAUAAAAUCAUUACUUCAAUUAAAUAUCAAAUAUUUAUUUGCUUCCUCUAUUAAACUUAAACUUCACAUUCAUACUUUAUUCUAAAAAAAAGUACUCUAAUUAAAUAAUUUAUGGAAAAUUCCAAUUUUUUUCAAAAAAAUUCCAGACAAACACAAAAUGGAAGGGUUAUAAAUGAAAGGAUUACACUUAAAAAAAAAAUUCAGACAAACACAAAAUGGAAGGGUUAUAAAUGAAAGGAUUACACUUAAAAAAAUUUCAGACGAAACAUGGCCAACACGCCUAGGCGCCCCCAUAUUUGUAUCUUCGAAGUCGUUUUUCAGUACUAAUUAAUAUAUACAUAUGACAAAAUUAGUAGGAAAGUAUACUAUCUAUAUAUAGGAAUGGAGGACACAGAUAAAUAAGGCGUAAUUUUUCCUCCAUCUCUACUUAAUAGUCUCAAUGGUUAAUUAAUUAAAUUACAUGCGUGUAUAUGUAAGGCAAAAAAUACUCGGUGAAUAACUAAUUUAAAACUUAGUGAGACAAGGAGAUAAAAGAAAUAUAUACAAUUCAAGUAUAAUAACUAAUAUGAUAUAUGUGAUAAAAACAAAGAGAUACAAAAUUAGUGAGUGUUAAAGAAUUAAUUCAACUAUAUUUUUUAAUUUUCUGCACUAGUGAUUGCUUGGAGAGAAAAAAUAUUCACCUACUAUUUUUCGAAAAUUGGACAAGUAUUAGACCUGAUCUACUAUAAAAUAAUCUAAAAAUCCAAGUAAACUUCUUUUAUGAUUAUUAAAAAUCAAUAAAUUACUAAUAAAUAUAGUCACGAAAAAUUGUUAUUCCCAUGUUAGUAAAUUUAAAUGACGGAACUUUUAAAAUUGGUAAUAUUUUUCUUAUUGUUUUUAUAAUUAAAAUUACAAUUUCUUUUUGUUAACUUAUAUUAAAUUUUAUUACAAGUAAAAUAAUACUUCUUACUCAGACCAAACAACAAAAUACUUAAGAAAUAGCAUGUAAUUAUUUUUUGUCUUAAAUUAAAUUAUAUGUCAAAUAAUAAUUCAGACGCAAAAACCAUUAACAAAAAGGCUUACAAAUAAUUACUACUAAUAUUUUUUAAAUUUAAAAUGUAAUUUACAAAAUUAAUAGACUUAAAUUUGAGCUUCAAAUUUCAUUCUAACCAUAAUAUUUGUUACUUCAAAAUAAAAAAUUUGUACAUCAUAAAUAAACAAAAUGAUAGAAAACUUUAAUUAAAUAAAUAUAAAACAUCCUUACUUACUAUAGAAUCAAACUUCAAAACUGCUUCUUCCUCUUUCACAAUACUCUCUUCGGUCUCAAAUCUAUGCAAGUGCAGAGUGUGAUUCAAGUUUGCUCUAUUUAAAGAAUUUCUUUAGCAAAAAGCAAGGUACACCAUUAUUAAAGUAACUCUGUAUGGAAGUCACCUCCUACAUGCGUAGCUGAUGCGUAGCUGAUUAAGCUGUCAUGCAUGCAUGUCAUUUAUGAUUUCUCUAUCCAAUACAGUGCCCUAUUCUCCUCCCUAGUCUGCAUAGAAAAAAAAUUUCAAUGCAUGUGAACCGUAACUGCAUCAGGCUUGAGUCUCCUCAUUGAGCAUCAAUUCCAAGCUUCAGUCCCAUCAAAUCUAUGCAAGUGGAGUGGUUUAAAAUUAUUAUUAUUAUAUAGAGAACUGUAUGUUUGAUUUAUGGGAAAAAAAGUAUAAAAAGAGAAAAAUAAGGAAGGAAAAGGAAUACAAAAUAUAUAAAUCCUUUUUUUUUCAAAUUGUAUGAUAAGAAAGAAAUAAAAGAUAAGAAAAUUAGUAUUGUUCUCUUCUUGUUUAGUUGUAUAGAAACAAGAAUAAAAAAUGUGUUCAAAAUUAUAAAAAAAAUUAAAACUAAAAAGAUAAAUCAAAAUGAGAAAAAAAUUAUUUAAUUUGUACAUGAAAGAGUAUAUUUUUUUUGUUUUCCAUGUUCUUUGAAGAUAAAUAAAUAACGGUACGUCGGCAAAGAAGAUACUAUGAUAUUUGAAGAUUCAAAUAAUUUUUAAAAUAUUUUUCUAAUACUCAGCAUUUUUUUUUCUCUCAUAGCAUAGCAUAAUAAUUAAGUAUCGUCUUGCAUGUUUGGAUUAGUAAAUUUAAGUUUACAAACUGAAUUUUAUAAAAGUAUUAUAAGUCUUAUUUGUCUUGAAUUUAUAAAAAUAUUAUAAAUCUUACUUUUCACAAACUGAAUUAAACAAAAAAAAAAUCUACUCUCAAACAUACUUUUCAAAAGCAACUAAACAUAACUCCAACUUUUAAAAAAUUUCUACAAGAAAUUCAAACACAUCCUUCGUAAGCAAUAGGUUUUAAAUAUCUCCAAGUUAGUAUAUAUUGCAACGUGUACAGUUUAAUUAAGUCUUUUGCAUUUUGCAUCUUUACUAUUUAAAAGUGAAAAGAGUGAAUCUUCAAAUAUCACGUGAAGAUAGCUGGUUUUGUGCAGGCCAAGCCUAUCCCGCAACCACUGUUGGCGGGAUCCUCUCUCCCAAGCCUAUCCCGCAACCACUGUUGGCGGGAUCCUCUCUCCCCUGUCCCGCAACCACUGUUGGCGGUACCGCUCUCUCCUAUCCCGCCAUCUCCAAGGGCGGGACACUUCUCUCUCCUGUUUUACCCCAUCCCGCCAUUGCUGCUGGCGGCACCCCUCCCCCUCUCUCCUAGUCAGCCCCUAUCCCGCCAUUGCCACUAGCGGUUCAAGCUUCCCGCCGGUGUCAAUGGCGGCCCCCACGUAGAAAACAAACCCCCCCCCCCCAUAAUUUCUUAUAAAUCAGACCCUAUUCAGUAAAAAGUUUCUAAAACCAACCCUCCCACGUAAAUUUGCCGAGUUAUCACAUUCCUAACUAAUAGAGAAACAAGACAACUAGAUAUACAUAUCAUAUAAACCAAAUAAAAUUUACUUACACGUAAUUCACGCAAUUCCACCACUUUGUCAUUCAAAGUUCACUUUUCAUCCAUCAAUCACACUUUUCAAUCAUCAAUCACAUUACACACAAAUCACAUGCUUUGAUCAAGACAUAAUAACACAUUAAUUUCAUAAUAAACAAUUAGCAAGCGCAUGAGACAAUUAUGCUAAGACUCAAGCCUAUAUGCAAUGUGGUACCAUGUCAGUGAAAAACCACCCUAGGGCGCUUAGGAGUACAUAACAAGACACACCACACAAUGGGUUUGUCAGGUCACUCUCACUAAGUAAGAUCAUAGGGAGACCAGUCAGGGUCACGAUGUUUUGCGAGAAUGCUCCAACCAUAUGGGAUCAGCAUAGGCUUAAAGGAGCACUCAAACCGGGUGACCCCCAAGGCCUACACUCCGAAGAGUCUGUCAGGGCCUCUCCCUCCUGAUUCAGGUCCAACCCCUAAAAUCAUUUUAGCACACAGACACUGCUAGUGAAUUAUACAAUACCCACAACCUCACACUCGUGUCUUAAACACGUACAACAUAUUGCGCUACAAUUUAACACUGGUUCCUAAAUAGGAACCUACACUUUCUCUUUAACACUGCACAUUUACACUUUUCAUCAAGAUAACACUGGUCGGGUUAUUGUACAAUUCAUAGCUUACAACACAAAUAAUGUCACAUCAAGAAUUAAUCACACACUUAUUCACAACCAAAACUCAUUCACAAUUUCACAUCUCAUAAUGUCACAAUCCACCAUUACAUGUUUUCACGUAUCUCACAAUUCAACACCUGUUCUACUUUACACUUUUACUCAAUCUCAAUAACAAUAUUAUAAUCUCAAGGCAACAUUUUAUUCCACAAUUCAUCACAUAUUUCAUUUAUAAGCACUGCUCAUGAAUUAUAUAAUACCACGACCUCACACUCAUGUUUCAAACAUGUUUAACACAAUUGCGCUACAAUUUAACAUUGGUUCCUAACUAGGAACCUACACUUUCUCUUUAACACUGCACAUAAACACUGGUCGGGUUAUUGUAUAAUCCAUAGCUCACGAUAUAAUUAAUGUAACAUCAAGUGUUAAACACAUUCACUUAUUUACAAUCGAAUAUCAUGUCCACACUUUAACAUCUCAUAACAUCACAUCAACCAUCUCAUAACAUUCCUAAUGAUAUUCAUAAGGUACAACAUACACAUGUUCAUCAAAUUUAAUCAUAAUAUUCUCAAACUUCAACACUUAAUAAUUUUUGGAAUCAUAUUAUAACACUCUACAAUAUUAUUUACAUAAAUUAUUAAUAUAAAUAACUACCUCUAUAUAUGUAUAAGCUAGCAUACAUCAUAUUGAAUCACAAAUUACAAAGUAAGCUUUCAAUGCACAAAUUCUAAAUAAUUAUAUGAACACUUUGGUCAGUUUCAAUUAUGAUAUUAAUUUUUUUAAUUAUAUAUAAAAACCUAAACAACAAGAAAAAGAGAAAAUAAAAAAUCAAUAUUUCUCUCUAAAUUUCUCCUUACUUUAUUUCAUCAAUUCAUAUUAAUUAGAAAAAGUACUCGAUUUAUAAGGUUCACGCUCAACACAAUAGCAUAUCAAUUUCACAAAGAUUGGUCUGUCAAACAUAUAUAAUUCACUGUAAUAAUUAUAAGGAUAAAAUGAAAAUUGCAAAAAUACCCCAAAACUCAUUCCAAUUGAUAUCUCUAAGGAUCCCUACACAUGUUCUCAUUAAUUCUCAAUUGUGAAUAACUCAUCCCUUACCUCUAAGCAGGCUCACAUGUCUUCAGCCAGCAAUAGCAACAUCUCUAGCGGUUCCCUGGAGUUCCUCCAAUUUUUUCCUCUAACUGCUCCAAUAGAGUUCCCAAACAUCAAAGAGACAGAGAAGAGAUUGAAGUCUCCACUUGUAUUGUCACCAACGAUUUAUUUUUCUCCCUCCACAAAUAUUAUCUCGCAAAUCCCAACGGUGAAAGAGUGCGACAUUGAAUUUCAAACAACAUAUACAAAUUUCAUGAAAAUCUAACGGUUAACGAAAUCGGGAUCGUAGUUUUACCGAGACAGCUCUGGGUUUCUACGGGAAAGGAAAAUGAUACAAUGCGAAGGAUAUUUCUCUUAGCUCAGACAUAAUAUCGAAAUUCCCAAUGGUGAGAAUGCUCAUAAUUGGGUUGCGAAUGUGGUUCUCAAAUUUCACGACGAUCCAAAGGUGAAUGAGUCCGAGAUCGUUAUUUUUCUGAGACAUGUUAGAUGGCCUGCGGGAAAAAGAGAGGGUUUUGGGAGAAGAAAGAAAAAACGAAAUUGUGAGGCAGAGGAGGCUAAGGAGUCAGUCUGAAAACUGAACAAGCAUGUUGCUAUUUAUAGCUAGGGGCAUUUACGACCUAUUAUUUACUCUAUUUAUUUAUUUAUUUAUUUAUUAUUUAUUAGUUUAUAAAAACAAACUUUAUUUUAUUCUUUAUCAAAUAAAUAAAAAAAACCCUUUUUGUUUUCUCUCAAAUCAUUAUUUUAAUUAAUAAUUAUAUCUCCUUAUUUAUUUAUUUAUAAAAUCUCAUCAUUUUUUUUAAAUUCCAUUUAUUUAUAAAUAACAAUCCUUUUUAAUCUAGUUUACGAGAUGAAAUGAAAUAGGGACACGAAAUAAUUAAUCCUUUUUUUAAAUUCCAUUUAUUUAUAAAUAACAAUCCAUUACAUGUCUGGCCGAGAUGAAAUGAAAUAGGGACACGAAAUAACAAUUGAGCAACUUGUUCAGUUGCUCGAGUAGGGAGACGAUUGUUAGUUUUUCAAAUGAAUUGUGUAAAUGUAAUAGAACGAUUGGCGUAAAAAAAUAUUGGGGUCGUACAUGUGUACGUCGAUCCUUGAACUGAAUCGUCUACAAUGUGACCAUUCUGGUAAAUGAGGGUUGCAAUUUCUUUAGGUGGAGCCAUGGUGGUGCUUAUGGGAUAUGAGUGGAAAUGGAGAGAGAGUUACAAAUGGAGUUUUGUUUUGUGAGAAAAUUGUUG